GAUGAACGCUGGCGGCGUGCCUAAUACAUGCAAGUCGAGCGAACAGACGAGGAGCUUGCUCCUCUGACGUUAGCGGCGGACGGGUGAGUAACACGUGGAUAACCUACCUAUAAAACUGGGAUAACUUCGGGAAACCGGAGCUAAUACUGGAUAAUAUAUUGAACCGCAUGGUUCAAUAGUGAAAGACGGUUUUGCUGUCACUUAUAGAUGGAUCCGCGCCGCAUUAGCUAGUUGGUAAGGUAACGGCUUACCAAGGCAACGAUGCGUAGCCGACCUGAGAGGGUGAUCGGCCACACUGGAACUGAGACACGGUCCAGACUCCUACGGGAGGCAGCAGUAGGGAAUCUUCCGCAAUGGGCGAAAGCCUGACGGAGCAACGCCGCGUGAGUGAUGAAGGUCUUCGGAUCGUAAAACUCUGUUAUUAGGGAAGAACAAAUGUGUAAGUAACUAUGCACGUCUUGACGGUACCUAAUCAGAAAGCCACGGCUAACUACGUG
rnacentral:rRNA from 1 species